ACUCUGCUGCUUGUUGUUGAUAUGGAAAAUAUGGAGCAUAUCUUUUUUCACGUUUCAUGGUAUAGCUUGCAAUAGGGUGACAUUAACUGGCCCAUGAAUAUGGGCACUGGAAUUGACCACUGUUUCUAACAUACGUGGAUAAUUAUCUACUAAUCCGUUUCAAGUCGGAUUUUGAUAGUUGUCUUGAACUGGAAUCAUCGUGGCACCCUUAGUUAAAAAUUGAUCAUAAUGGCAUUCCUUCCAAACCUUGGUUCUAUUAAAAGAUGCAGUUAUCAUAUUUUACAAACAUUUUUAAAUCGGAUGGGUGUAAUCCGUUGAUUAAUAUGGAUAAUACAAAAGCCUUUGGUAUUUGGUCAUUUAGCCACUUGUAGAGUAUAUCUGCCACACAACUAUAAUAUGAUUCCAUUGCCUUUCUUGGAUCCAUUUUGUAAGUCAUUAAUCUUUCUCGAAGUCGAUCCUCAAAUCCAAUUGAAUGAAAAUGGAUUAAAAAUACAUUCUUCAAUGCUUCCCAAUUGAAAAAUUGAUCCAUAGGUUGACGGUUGUACCAUUCAAACACCGUGUCCUUCAAGGUUGUUGACAACCAU
rnacentral:lncRNA from 1 species